AUCACCCAUUUUCCCUCUCCCCCACCACCCAUCCACCCUCCAUUUGUUCUCUGUAUUUAAGGGUCUCUUAUGGUUUGCCUCCAUCCCUCUCUGUUUGUAACUACUUUUUCCCCUUCCCUUCCCCUCGGUCUUCUCUUAUGCUUCUCAAGAAGCACAUGUGAGUGAAAACAUAUGAUAUGUAUCCUUCUCUGACUGACAUGUCGCUCAACAUACAACCUUCCCAUUGCAUCCACGUUGCUGCCAAUGACAUGCUUUCACUCUUUCUCAAUGCAGAUAGGGCCGAUUAGCUCCCAGUGAGCACACAUGAAGGUUGUUUUCAACCCCCCGAACAACUAAUUUCUGAUAUCAACGAAAACAUGUUGUCCUCCUCAAACCGUUGGGCGUUGAAGUCUCUUGUUUGUGCAGUGACUCUUACUGUGCUCUUUGCCCCCGCCACAGACUGCCUCAACAUCCUGCUCUUGGAGACUUUCAGGGAUCCUGCAUGCCCAGUCGUUGCGCCAGCAGGUGAUCGUCAAAGAAACGACUCAAAAAGAACUAAACAGAAUCAGAACCCAGUCCUACACACUUGGGCAGCAGCUCGUGUGGAGACUCUGCCCUCCAGAUCACCACUGCUUUUACCCACGGACAGGAAAAGCUGCAAAGCUGUCAAGUGCCCCAACCCCCCUACACUGUUUGAUGUCAGAUGUUGGGUUUCUUUUGCUACAUUCAGGCUCCCAGAUGUAACUAAAUUGGGUUCUAUUUCUCCAUAACCCACAGGUUUUCCAUAGUCAUAGGACACGAAGCUUCCCUGGGGAAUUGUGCCGGUCACUUCCUUCACAGAUUUAUUUCAUUAUCAUCUGGGACAGAGAGUUGGGACCCAACUGUAUCCCUUCUGAUUCCCUUGAUCUCCUUCUAAACAGGUUUUCCAGUGAGGGACUGAGUUUCCUAGCCUGGAACUAUGUCUCUCUGAUUUUAAUUGUGGAGUCCUGCUACAUUGCCCUAGAUCCAGGGGAACAUGGACAGUGGGUUCUCCAUGGGCUCACCUGUGACACCUCUCUUGGCAAGAGAAGGCAAAAAGUCUUCUGGGAUGGGGCAAGUGUUAUUGGGAGGGAGCUAUCUUCACUUGUGUGCAUGGGGUGUUGGAGAUCAGAGGUCAGAGUCAGGAACCGUGUAACUGUUACUCAGAGAGUGCCCAGCAUUCACAAGCAGCUAACACAUGGUGAUUCCCAAGGACACAUUGCCCUCCCUUACUGAGACCUGUGUGCUUGUUAGCCUGAGGGCUGUUGGUGACCCUGUUCCACAGGCCGCUGUGAGUUAACCACAUGAUGAGAAGUCCAGUGUUGGAGCAUGAGCAUUGUUCUUCCCCAGGUGGUCAGGGCAGACAGUCCAUUCAAAGACUCGGGGACCAGAGCCCAAUUCCACAGACAUGGCUGCCAGCCAGCACAGAGAAGCCAACACUGAGAUAGAUCGCGAGGGCCUCUGCCCCCUGGUUGUAAGUGGAAGGCCAGAGCCAGAAGCCUUCCUGCCCUACGUAGCUCAGGAUGCAGUGCGCUUGUGAUCGGUGCUUCCUUUCAUGCCAACCCCACAGACGUUUCCUUCUUACUCUCAGGACACCUAGCUUGCCUGGAAAAUAGUGCUCAUGUCCGCAGUCCCAUUUUAAUUCCAUUUUCAUCUGAACUGAACAAUUUAUGUACCCAGUGUGUUUCUUCUCAGUUGUUAUUCUUAUUUUGAUUAAGAUUAUCAUCAAAAUCAUCAUUGUUAUUUAUUGACCAAUUCCUCCCUGUGGGACUUUGGUGGAAUCAGUCUGGAAGCCUCCCUUUUGAUUUUUAAUUAUAAACUCUUUGAUAGUUUUCCUGGAUGUGGGACGGCUUGGAAAUUUACUGCUUCAUGCCCUCUGGCAAACUUACACUGGCACAGAAGCAGCUACCCCAGUGCAUUGGAAAGCAUUGAGCACAAGAGGUUGGCCUGUGGACAGAAGGCCGGAGGGAAAGCAACCUGCCUUUUUUCUAGGGCAAAGGAAAUAUAUCAGCAGGAAGGAGUCAGGAGCAAUGCAGCUGCCACUCAGACAGCAAUCUCUGGCAGCUUCUCUAAUUUCACAACGUAAUAUCCUCCAGAUCCAUGGAUGUAGCUGCAAGUGGCAAGAUUUCAUUCAUUUUGAUAGGACACAGACCUUUCUUCCUGGCGGAAGGUGAGAGGCUGUUCACAGGUCUCUCUCUGAAACGCAGCGAUCCACUGAGGAAAUCCCAGGCAUCUGGGAUCCUUGUGUAACACGAUGAGGAGUAAACACGUCCGGAGGACGUCUGCCGCCAGGGAACUCCAGGGACUCCAAGUUCACCCGGCUUUUUGAAGAAAUCCGAAGGAGGGAAGGAGGAAGUGCAUUUGACUAAGCAAAUAGCUCAACCGGUUUUCAGACACGUUGAGAAAAUACAGAAAAUAACUGGUUUCCUAAGGUUUGUGGCUGCAUAAAGUUUUCUCUUCAUGAAAACAGAAAUUAUUGCUCCAACCUGCCAGCAUACAUCUCCUCAUGGCCUCCAGUGUUUGUUUCUUGUAAAUGAUUACUUUGUUACAAGUAAAAAAUUCUAUUACUGUGAGUUAAACCCGUCCUCACACACGCAACCCACACACAAAAAGGCCACCGGGGUGGCUCAGUAUAAGGGUCGGACUUCGAUUCAGGUCAUGAUCUCGAGGUUUGUGGGUUCGAGCCCUUCCUCCAGGUCUGUGCUGUAAAUUAUGGUUAUUGAGCGGAAUGCAGUGUUCUCUAUUUAUAUUUUAGAUGAAAUUUAUAAAUUGCAGAAUUCAGAUUUUAGUAACCACUUUAAACCAAGUAAGGAAUAAGCGAGAAUGAGCUUAAAAAUAUUACUAACAGGCAUAUCCAAAAUAUCAUUUCAGUGUAUAGCCAGCGUGAGAAAAAAAUAAUGAAAGAUUUUGCAUUCUCUCUUAUCAUGUCUUUAAAAUGUGGUGUGCAUUUUAUACGUUCCACACGUCUCACUUUGAGUAGCCUCAUUUCAAGUACUUGCAAUAAAGCAGGUGACCGCCUAUUGGACAACCCCGUCCCACUCCCUUGAUUACACUGAUCUUUUAGGUAAUUGGAAUAUAUCUAUUUUUAGAGGCAGGUGCAUUUUAAACUGACCCCUGCCUGAUUCAGGACUUGUACUGCUUUCCUGACACUGUUCUCUCCUUUUAUCUUUUCUUUGUUUUAAGAUUUGUUUUUUGAGAGAAUCCUACUACAAUCGGGUGAGGGGCAGAGGAGAAAGGGAGACACAGAACCUGAAGCAGGCUCCAGGCUGUGAGUCAUCUGCAUAGAGUCUGACGCGGGUCUCCAAACUCACAAACCGUGAGAUCGUGACCUGAGCCAAAGUCGGACACUCAACUGACUGAGCUACCCAGGUGCCCCUGCUCUUUUCUUUGACACUUGAACCACAGUGAACUCCUCUUUACCUUUUUUUGGGUAAUAUUUUUAAGUUUUAGAUGGAUUUUGGCGUUGUUGUCCUUGUUUCGUGCACUUAAUGAUUGUUAAGGUUUGUUCUCAUAGUUACCCUUUCUGUUGUGACCUUGUUCUGCAAACCUUGUUUUUUCAUAUUUCUUUCAGAGACUACGUUUCUUUUCUGCAACAAGGUGUUUUAAUAUUGCUUUUAGUUCGUGUCUGUGGCUGAUGGGUAGUCAUGGUUUGUGUGUGUGUGUUGUUUUUGUUUGUUGUUUCUGUUUUUAUUUUUGUUUUUGCUUCUGUUUUGCCUGAAACACGUCUUUUUCUUCACUUGGAAGAAUGUUUCUUUUAGGUAAAGACUUCUGAGUUGGUGGCUAUUUUAGUUCACCUUUCAUACAUGCCAAUCCAUCAUCUGGCUUCAUUUGCUUUCCUUGAAGAGUCAGCUGGUAGUUUUGUCCCAUGGAAGGCGGUAUAUGUGACUUCUCAUGACUCUUAACAUCUUUUUGCCUCAUGUGUUCUUUGUGGAGUCACUGUCAUCGUUAUCAGUUUUAUAUCUUUGUAGCGAUAUGUUACUACCCACUUUGUGUUUCCUCUACAUUGUGGGUUACCAUUGGAUAUUUGUACCGUAUCUUCUGUGUCUUUGGGCUUCUGUAUUUUCUUGACGUUUUCUCUGUGUAUGGCCUAGAUAUAUUUUUACCUACCUAUCUUUCAGUUCACUGAGUCUAUUCACCUGUGUCUUGUUUGAUUUGAAGCCCAUUGAGUUCUUAAUUCAAUUAACAAGAUUUUUUAGUCUUUAUGUUGGAGAGCUAGACAAGUUGGGAGCAAUGGAUGAACAGAGAGAGAGGGAGACAUAGAUGCCCAAGCAGUCUCGCGCCCAUGAUCACGAGAUCAUGACCUGAGCUAAAGUCAGAUGCUUAAGGAAAUGAGCCAAUCAAGCAGCUGAAGAUCUUAAUUUUAGCUCUGAUAAUUUGCAGUUUGAGAAUCUGUUUUGAGUCUCUGAAAUAUCCCAUUUGUCAAGAAUGGUUUUUGGACAGUUGACUUUUGCAUCCAGUAAUUCCAGUCUAUGUGUCUCCUCUUGGUCUCUGUUCUUUUUUCUUUUGAUCGAUGUGAUGUAAAAAAUGUUUUUUUAUAUUUAUUUAUUUAUAUUGCGGGAGAAAGUGAGAGCAAGUGUGAGUGUAGAGGACGGGGGAGAGAGAGGCCAUUUUGAAGAGAGGUUCUUUUCUGUCAGUAAAGAGCCCAACACAGGGCUCAAAUUCACAAACAUGAGCAGAAAACAAGUGUUUGUCCCUUAACCGAGUAGCCUGAACUAUCCUGGUACAUCUCUGUGUUUGCUUGUUUGUUUCUUUCCUUUUCUUAUUAAAAGAAUUUUUUUGUUAAUAUUAUUUACUUUUGAGAGAGAGAGAGAGGUAGAGACAAAAAUUGUGCAGGGCAGCGGGAGACAAAGAGGGAGACACAGAUUCCAAACAGUCUCCAGGCUCUUCACUGUGAGCACAGAGCCCGACACGGGACUCAAAACCAUAAACCCUGAGAUCAUGACCUGAACCUACGUGGGAUGCUUACCGGACUGAUUCACCCAGGCAUCCCUUUUCUAUUCUUUUCAUUUCUUUUUCUUUUCUUACUUUUCCUUUCCUUUUCUAUCCUCUUCUCGUCUCUUUUUUCUUUUUCUUUUCUUUUCUUCUUUGUUUUUAUUUUUCUAUUGGACAUGAUGUAGAAGCAUAGAGGCUCUUGUGUUUGUAUUUCUUACCUAGUUAGAGUAGAUUUGCUUUUGGGGAGGAAAUGAUAUAAUAGCCAAGUAUAUGCGUAUAUUUCAUGCACUCGUGCCGUACCUUUUACUAUUUUUGAUAUUUUGAAGCUGCCCAGCUCGUCUGCCAGUCUUUCCAAAUGUCACACAUCUGCAAAGUUUCCAACGUAUUUUUUGGAAAAAAAAUCCCCACAUAGAAAUGGGUCUGCACAGUCUUACAUCAAGAAUCACAUAUGCGUCUGUGGGUAAACCUUGUCAAGCCAGAUUGCAAGGAACGUGGAUAGUUCUGUGGUAAAUUCGCCUUGAUUAGGAAAAGGUUAAUUCAUGAAGAAACUUGAAGUAUGUCACCUGUUUUUACAAUGACUUUCUAGCAUUGACGAAAUCAACCACUCUCGCUAUUUGGAAUUUGAGUUAAGUGAACCUUGUCCGCUUGUUUUUCUUCAGAGUCAAAACUUCUGGGCCGCCUAAGUGGCUCAGGGGGUUAAGCGUCUGACUCGGUUUCAGCUCAGGUCAUGAUGUCAGGGUUCACGGAUUGAGCCCUGCACAGGGCGCUGAGCUCUACUGAAGGGAGAGUGUGCGUCCACCUCCUUGGAGCCCACCUGUAUGCCGUGUCUUGGGCGAGCGCUCAGUAUUGGCGGGAGAGAAACCCCACGCGCGGUGAUGGACCCUGGCAUCCCUCUCUUCAAAAACCCUUCGUCCAUAUUUCCUGCUUGACUAAGGAAAUAAGACUUAUACUCUGCCUUUCGUCAAGAGUCGUACAAUCUUUUUUGAAAAGUGCAUUUCGUAUGGUUGUCUCUGAUUGGGACAGGUGUUCAGUCUAAGACAGGGCUUUUGAAUACCGUCAGGUUUCCCCACUGCCGCUCCACAAGCCUGCUUGCCAGAUGAGGCCAGAGGCUGGGGAUGGGCAACAGGGUUCUCAGGCUGUGGUUCCCAACUCAGCAGGGUUCCUAAAACAUAAACCUGCCAGGCACCUGAAAAUGUCUGUCCCCUUGAGAGUAGGUCCCUACAAAAAUCCCCGGGACUCCUGUGGGUGGUGAUGAGGGGCCUUGUGUAUGUUUCUACCUGAGGUUGGUGAGUGAGUGUACUCUGGAGAGCCACGGAAGCCUGGUGCGCUCUUGCUAAUGACCCCCUGUGACUUUCCACUUUUCUCCCCUCUCCGACCCCUGGAGUGUACAGCCCUUGCUGAGGAGCUCAACAGCUGUAGGAGCAGCUCUUGUAGAGAAAGGAAGAGGUCGUCGAACUGAAGGCAGAGAGAAACAACACCAGGCUGCUGCUGGAACAUUUGGAGUUCCUCGUCUCCAGGCACGAGAGAGCUCUUCGGAAAACAGUGAGGCUACUAGGCGAAGACUCAGGCCGGCGUGUCCAGUGAGGCCGAGGGGCUGAAGGUCUUUGAACUCCAUAUUGGAGAACGAAAAAAGGGAGGAUAAAACGGUGUGCCUCGCCACGGCGGUUCUCGACUUGUGCACAUGCUGUGUGUUAUCAGGCAUACAUUGCGUUUUUGUGUGACUGGCGUUUCCUUUUAAGCUUCUUGAAUUCUUGUAAGAAGCCGGGUCUUUAUGGAUAAAAAGCAGUGGUUGGUGGAAAUGCGUGUACAGAUUUGCUGGUAAAAAUUGCAUAAUAUAUUUCGGGGAAGAUUUGUCUCCAAUGUAAAAUUGAAAGCAAGUUUGUGAACAUGAGCAUCCGUGAAAGUCUUUACCAGCAUUCUGUCAUGUUAUUUGUUUUUUUUUUUUAAUUUUCUUUAAUGUUUAUUUUUGAGACAGAGACAGAGCAUGAACAGGGGAGGGUCAGAGAGGAAGGGAGACAAAGAAUCUGAAACAGCCUCCGGGCGGGCUCCGAGCUGUCAGCACAGAACCCGACGCGGGGCUCGAACUCACGGAACGUGAGAUCAUGACCUGGGCUGAUCAGAUGCUCAACCGACUGAGCCACCCAGGCGCCCCCUGUCAUGUUAUUUGAAGCGAAGGGGACCUUACAGUGGCUUUACAGUACGGAUUAAUAAAAAAUCCUCCGCGUACAAACUCAAUCCCUUUGGUUCCAGGUGAGAGAGCGUUUAUGUGUGGCCCUGGAGUGUUAUAGUUUCUUCGAAGAAGAAUCAGGGGCCACAUGCAAAGAGUAAGCUCCAGACAUCAUCACAGGAUUUGAAUGGAGGGGGUUUCCUUUUUACCCUUUGUUUUAAAAAAAAAUAUAUAUGAAGACCAGCAGUGGGGGCCAUCACAUGAUGCUUCCCUUUCUGGCUUUCAAAGGUGCAGAGCCAGAUGAAGGAGUGCCUAGCUCCCCUCUCCACUCUCGUGGCCAAGGUGGAGGAAGAUCUAGACAACGCGCGGAAGGAUGUCACCAUUUCAGAAGUAAUGAACACCAUGUUACGACGAGAUGUGCAUGAAGUGAGAGGCAGUUGAGAAGGUCUCGCUGUCCUCAAGUCAAAUGUGGGGUGUUUGAUUCGGUCUUUGCCCACUCUGUCCUUCCUCUCCUACAUUUUUUGAACGUUUGGAGUUUGGUAGAAAUAGCUGCAGAACGGAACGUUAUUCCAGGGCCUGGCAGCUGCCUCCCCGUCUGUAUGAUAGAAUCUGUCUUCUCUGGGCUCUACCCUACCAAAGCCUGGUGGGUAGGCGGCGUUGUGCCUUCAGGCGUGGAGUGCAUGCCACCUGAGCUUGUCCCACGCCGUGCUCACGGUCCGUUCUGGCAACACGCUCAGCACAUUCGAAACACUGUGGUGCAGCCGCUCUGUUACUGGCACCGUGUCCGGGGCUGGCUCUGGUUGUGCAUGUGCUCUGUGCUCCCGGGUCACGCCCUGGAAGGGUUGCCGAGGGUUCUCGACUCAGGGCGCUUAGAGUCCAGAUCAGCUUGGGAGGGAGAGUGUCAGCUCCCUGGAGGCAGCCCUCUCCGGCAGCUGCUGGCCUGUGGUUCUCACUCGUGUGGGGCGGUGUGUCGUGUGCCAAGCACACGUGGAAGAUGCUCUUCCGUGCUUCACCCAGUCCGACAAGCUCUCAGGAUGGUCCUUUGAACAACCUCAGCAGCAGUAGCAGUAACCAGGACUCCCUGCACAACGCCCCCAUAAAGAAGGUCAUCAGUCCCGUGCGCUGCUUGCUAGGCAAGAAACAAAAGGUCCACCCCGGCCACGCUAGUGUUCUAUAUAGCUGCAAAGGGGUUCUAUAUAGCUGCAAAGGGGUUCUAUAUAGCUGCAAAUAGGUUAUAUCUCCUCCAUAGUGAACCUGAGGCCCGUAUUAAGAUAAGGUUCCUGGAGGACGUAGAGCAUGUAUGAAAUCUGGAAAGGACUCACGUGGAAUCCCAUUCCACCUUGUGAAGUUGUGCAGGGAGGGCCUGACCCCAGAGCACUUAACUCUAAGCCUGGCUCCUGCACAGAUGAGUUUGGGGCUCUCGGGAAGCUCCAUAUUAGCAUUCCUGUGCUUCCGUUCUAUCACCUAAUAGGAUCUGUGGGAGCACUUCCGUCAUAUGGCUUAUAGGAGUGUCUGCAUCUAAAUAUCUACAUGAUACUUUGAUCACAGAAGUUCCAUCACAUGUGUAACUGCAGCCCCUGUGGGGACAUGGUCACCAGCAUUCAGAAACUGUCAUUCAUCUGGUGGUCUCUCUGGCGCACUCACUACGUUGCCCUCCUUUUUCCUUCCCCUGUAUUUUUUGAGUUUCUCUUAGACUAUGACCUUUGCAAUCUAUUCAGUACCACCUAUUUUUAAAUGGUCUUGAUUCCAGACAGUGGGUUUCAUUUCCUACCAAGCAGCUGAGGAGCUGUGAUGCCUGGGAAGGGGCCCCAGAGAACUGGUGCGGGCCCACCAGUUCCCUCUGGGAUUUUCCACUGUAGAGCAGGUCGCUUGUGGGUUGAGCGUGUCCCAGAGCUAAGUGGAUGGAGGCAUGUUGAGGCCACAUCCCAGUGAUCUGACAACUGAAAAAUAAAAGUGAGCCCUCUUCAACAGAAGAGGUGGUUUCUAGUCUAGCGGGGUGGAGCAGGAGGUGGGCCAAGGGGGACAUUGGAGAUGGUGGGACCACGGGAUGGGGCCUUGAGCCGGGGAAGAACUCAGUGGGCUUUGUGAUACACUGGACAGCAGGCAAGGCAUGGGGCCACUCUCAGUGUCCCGAGUGCCUGCGAGGCCUGGAGUGGGCUGUCUCCCGUCCACACUGGGCCCUGAGAGCCGCUUGCCGUAGAGGCCUUUUCCCCUUCAGCCCCGGACUUGUCCGUUCGUUUCUCUUUCCGUCUGCCUCAAUCUAGUCUCCUCAGAACUCAUAAUAAUGACCAUGACUGGCACACUCAGUUGUACUUCAGGUGAAAAGCCGUUAUUUCUGUUAAUGCUCCCAAUUCCGUAGGAACCCUCGGGAAUAGGUUCCCUAGGAAUAGAAAUUUGUGGAAACAGUUUAAGAGUGGUCUGAUUUGAAUGUCCCUAUGUUUGAAGUGUAUAAAACUGUUUUACAAUAACUUGGAUACUUGCCACCUGGCUGUAUGCAAUUUCUUACUGAAAGUAGACUUUUUGCUCCUCGAACCAUGCUGGGAAAAUUCUGUCCCUUAAAUGUUGCCGAUGUGUUUUAUUUCACAUCUUUAUACUUUCUGUAAAGAAAACAGUAAGAUUUAUGGUAGUGCCUUCUGGUUCUCCCACCCCACUCACCCCAAAAUGUGUAUUUUUGUAAGGUCUGAGAUAACAAAAAUUGUGGAUUGGCUGCUUUCUGCGUGGAGCCUGCUUUGGGUCCUUUUCCUCCUUUCUCUCUGCCUCUUUCUCCUCAUACACACACUCUCUCUCUCUGAAACUUUGAAAAGAAGGGCGAUUGAGUGGCUCAGUCAAUGAAGCAUCUGAGUCUUGGUUUCGGCACAGGUCAUGUUUUCAUACUUGGUGAAUUUGAGCCUUGCAGUGGGCGCAGAGCUGACAGUGGGGAGUUUCCUUAGGAUUCUCUCUCCCCCUAAUUCUCUGCUCCUGCUCCUCUUGCUGUUUCUGCCUCUUUCAAAAAUAAAAAAACUAUAAAAAAUAAACCAAUAAGCUAUUGAGAAACCAAUAGUUUCAGAGAUGAGGAGUUUGGUUUCUUUCCUUUUUGCUAUUUGACACUGAUAGUCUCCAGAGAUAUUUUUGACAUCGUAUCACGCUGGCUGCAGCCUGGGAAUAGAGCCUGUAUAUGGUGUUUUGGGGGUAGCCGGAUAUCUCACUGCAAUCCAGGGCCCUGUGCUCGGGGGAAUGUUUCAGUUAUUUAUUUGAAAAGACACAAAACGUUGCAUUCUCCUUCUACAAAACCAGGACUGGACUGAUUUCCUCCCACACCACCACUUAAGACUGUCGUCAUUGCCAUAAGAACGAACACAUGCUCGUGAGGAGAACAGGGCAAGGGCAAGGGUGCUGUGGGACUGUCCCAGCGUGUGGCACUGUCUGCAGCUUAAAGACUAUUUGGAAAACGAAAAGGUAGUAUCUUCUAUGGCAGGAAGGUGAUUUCACAUAGACAGUGGAGCAGGCCCAGGCAGCCCAGGACUCUGCUGACUUGUGCCCGGUCAGGGUCCUGGCACAAGUGUGGCCCUGUCUCCCUUUACCCCCUGGGGUGUCUUCUGGGCAGGGGGCCCGAUGGCUGUCAGGAAUGUGGGUAAAUACCUGUAAACAAAAUUGCAGAGCGAGGUCAUUUUAAAGGACUGGUAACUUUAAUAUACACUUUUGUUUUUUAAUUUCCAAUCAGUCUUGAUUUCUGAAUGAUGAUGACAAAACUUUAGGAAGGCACCUUCUUGGAGAAAACAAUGUAGACCAAAGGACAUUUGUGACUUAGCUGCUGGGUCAGCAGAGACUCUCCCUGCAGACUUCUGGGUCACAUCCUCUCUGGCCUUUAUGCAGCCAAAGAAGAUGUAGCUGGUCGUCGGUCCGUGACACGCUGACUUGCCCCAGUCCCUCGGGGACGGCUCCAUGGGAGGCUCUUUGACUGGAAUGUGAGCAAUGGUGGAGAAUGGCCGACUUCGUAUGUAACCAGGCUGUGGCCCGCUCAGGCUUCAAUGAUCUAAGAUGACUCCUAACUUCUGCUUAUCUGCUUGAAUAUUAGUGUGCUCUUCCACCUACUACAGCUAGGCAUCGUGGGUGUCCUCAGUGCGUGGGCUCUAUCAGAGCCUAGUCCUGGGGGCCUGGGCAGCUUGCCUGGAGUGACCCACAGAACCUGGGAGCUGGGGCCGCGGCAAGCCUGGGCGGGGGGGACCUGGGCACGUCCUUCCCCCACCCCUGCCCCACACCCACCCUGAACUCCCUGGUACCACAACACUCAGAAGACCAAUCAGGAAGCACUGGGCUCCCACCGCGGGGCAGGGUGCUGGGUGUGCACCCAGGAGAAAGGCGCGAGACCCUGGAAAUUAUGUAGUGCAACUCUAAUAAAGGUCUUACUGUUCUUACGGAAAUCAACGUUUUACAUUUCUUUUUUGAACAAGUUUCAAGAGUGGACCUCAUUCUCCUUUUGUAGCUUUUCUUUAAAUUUUUUAUGUUUGUUUAUUAUUGAGAGACAGAGACAGAGCAUGAGCACGGGAGGGGCAGAGACAGGAGAAGACACAGAUUCCGAAGCAGCCCUCACGAGGCCACCUCAGGAGGCCCUGGCACAAGAUCCCUCAUAGCUCAGGCGACUCUGGGAUGGUUCCUUCCCUCCCCGCCACAGAGAGCUUAUGGCCAUUGGGUCAAGGGAUGGACGCCCUGACCCGUGGGCCUUGUGUGGAGGGCACAGCUGACAAUCGCUGGGAUUUCCUCUUCCUGUACUGUCUCUCCCGCCAGGGCCCAUCGUUUACUACUGUGAGGGAUACAUAGUUUCUUUCUGUGGAGUAAGACUUCCCUUCUCCUUUCUGUCGGGGCAUAGUUAGGUCAUUCUGUGUCUUCCUGUUCAGAACCUUUGCUGGCUGAUCUUUAGUUUCUGCACUUCCUAGUCCUUAGUGUUAAGUGUGAGGUUUGGAACAACAAAGUGCUUCCCUGCGUUUUACGUCUAGGAUUCUGUUUUUUCCCCACCAAAGCUGGGCAAGCCUUCGGCAUCUGAGAGUUUCUGGAAACAGACCAAUUCCCCACAGGUACAUUAGGUUGCACACGGUUUAUUAAAACUUGAUUUGGUGAAUCCAAUUAUGCUUAAAAAAGAAAUGUCAGUUGAGAAACAGACCAAGCACCGAGCAGAUGUCCGAGGGGUGUGGCCUCUCUGAGAACACGCGUUAGCCAUCCUUGGCUGUGCUCGCCCCAUACUGAAUGUUCCGGGGCUUGCAGGCCUUUGCACAGACCCGGCAGGUCCCACCGAAUACCCUUGACUCUGCUACCGCGCUACACGCUCCUCCUUGAGGCCACUCUACCCUCCUCACUGCUGCCCUUAAUGUCCUUUCUUGUGUGUCACGUCGAGUGUUCUGAAUGUAAUUGUGACUUCACACUUUCCUCCUCGCCUUUUGCUGGCCGAGUCCUGCCACCUCCCAGGUGGGUGCUCCGCGGUACCGGGAGGGGUCUGUCCCCAUGGCCCCUGCAGAGGGGCAGCAGGCGCACGCCCAAGAGAGUUGUUGCCUCCUUCCUGAUGAUGUGGCUUCACUUGAUGGUGUUUCUCAACAUCUCUGACGUUCUGCUUUGUCUUACCCCCCUGUCGCUUGAGUCCUCGGUGGGAAGAAGUGGCGUGGAUUCUGCUGAUUCUCCUCCUUGUCUUCCUGCGGCACCUUUCCCAGUCCUGACUUGAGGGCAGCGCUGUGUCCACACCACCCGGUGCGUGGGCAGAUUUCAGCGGGAGCAGGGAGGCUCCAUCCUGCCCGGCUUCGGUGCUUGCUGGCCCCCGUGCCCUGUCCCUUCUCGCUGUAUCUUACCUGACUCCUCUUUUAAGAACAUUCAUCCGUGUACUUCCCAGCCCCCUCCCCAGGGAGUCCAGGGUGGUCUCCAGGUCCUCCACGUAGCUGCACUUACAAAGACUGCUUUUCCAAAUAAAGUCACAUGCACAGGUUCCAGAGAUUUGGACAUAGACGGGACCACCUCCCCAGUCCACCUGUUUCUGGAGAAGGCCUGCUCUGCCCGGUCCUACCCCGGAGGCAUCAGGGUGGGGAGGACGGGCCCAGCCCUCCCACGGGGAAGAGGACUCUUGGGUCACACGACAGGCCCUAGACUGUCCAGGCAGAAAGUGGAAGAUGGAAAUUAGUCAAGAGGACCCCUGGCAUGUAUCAGGAUUACUGCCGGUUGAUCUCACUCGAGUGUGCUGGGCCUCUCCUAGCCACGAGCGUGCGUGUGCCUGGUGAGGGUGAGUGUUCUCUGCUUUGGUAGAAGGCACUUUCAGGGACCCCUGAGACAGGAACCAGUCUGGAAAGGCACUAGGACGUGCGGGGGAGACAGCGAUGCAAGAGGAAACCACCCUGCCCACACGUGAGAGGAAGCAGCAUCAGGUCUGGACGCCAGGAUGCCAGCCAGGCUGGGCUGUGGUGAGGGCCAGGCGCAGGGAGGCCUGUGUCCCACUGUGCCGCCUCCAAGGCCUCCGUCCGCUGUGAGCCAUGGGCAUGGUGGCCGCCCACAGGGUUUCGGGGCACACACACCAGAGCACAUCCAGCAGUUAGAGGGUAGGUCAGCCUCUCCUGCGCAAAUGGUGGCUGCCGCCCCACUUGCUUGGAUUGUUUUCAGUGCGUCCGGCCAGCCGUCCUUAGAGGAGGCGAACAGAACCUUUCUCCACUGGUGCUGAGGGGAUCUGAGCUGAAAUCAAGAGUCAGGUGCUUAGUUGUCUGAACCACCCAGGUACUGCUAAUUUCGAUUGAUUUUUAAAGAUGUUAAGCAACUUCUGCACAGACCCACGACCCAGCUAUCAAGAGUUGCAUUCUCCCCUGACAGUGGCAGCUGAGUGACCCUAGUUUUUGUUUUUUUUAGUUUUAAUGGUUAUUUUUGAGAGACACACACACAGAGUGCAACUGGGGGAGGGGAAGAGAGUCAGGGAGACACAGAAUCCGAAAAAGGCUCCAUGCUCUGAGCUGUCAACAAAGAGCCCGACCUAGGGCUUCAACUCGUGAAUCGGGAGAUUAUGACCUGAGUCGAAGUUGGACACAGCCAAGUGAGCCAUCGAGGUGCCCCUGUUUUUCAUGUUUUGCUCAAAGUGCCACCACACACAUUAUUUCAAGGAAAACUGCGGCUGCACUGCCCCACCCUAAUUCUUACACCCCUCCCUACCCCAUGCGAUAGUGUUCUAACCGUUUUGUCCCCUUACUUACCUGCUAACUCACGUGUGCUCAGUGUGAGCCCUGGCACAUCCACUUCAGAUUUACCCAGUGGCAUCUAGGUAAUAAAGCGAUAUGUAUCACUCAGCCACGUGGAUUGCAAGGAGGACAACAGAAAGGGCAAACGGUGUCACCGUAUGCCCCGGGAUUUACACGUGAACUCACCCACUCUCUGGGAAUUCUACGCCCUGGGUUAUAUCAGGGUAAGCAUCAAUGAUUGUGACUAUGUGGGUUGAUACUGGUGGAAGAUGGGUGAUGGAUUCAUGAGGGUUUACUGUACAUCUUCCUUUGGCAUUUGUGCAGAAGUUUCUAGAAUAGAAAACGUUAGUAGUUGUUUAGGGAUCCCCUCCAUGCGAUAGAUGGUCUCAGCCUGGAACGACUGCUCCCUGGCCCUCACUUUGGAACGUAAGGUAGCCCGGGUUCAAACUUUGAGCUGCACCGGCAGCGGAGACACGUUUCCAAUCACAAAUCAAUGUGCAAGUCUACACGUCACGAUUCCAUCUUGACCUUGCUUUCACAUUUUGAUUCGUGUGACAUCAGGAUGCUUCCUACAAGCGGUGACGUCUUAGACCUGCUGAAACGUGGCCUAUGAUGACAUCAAAGUCACGAUGGGAGGUAGUUGCUUGUCUCCAACUCCCUUUGAGAGGUGGAGUCUAAGGCCUCCCCUUGAGCCUGGGCCGGCCUCGGUGACAUGCUUGACCAGAUGGAUGUGUAGAUGGGAUGCUCGGGGGACCUGUGGUUCUUGAGUGUGACAGAGUUGCUCACAGAGGUAAGCGGUGCGUGCUUGGCACUGGCUGGUUUCUAGGGGAAGAGAGGACUUGAUUUCUCUACUCUGUAAUUCGUAACAAUGCAGUGCCUGUCGAGGUUGGUGUAUCAUUUGUGGGAGUCGGUGGGGAGUCGGUGGCUUGAUGAAUUGGUGUCUUGGUCUCUCUGCAGUCGCAGUGACCGUUCAUGAGGAGUGCAGCUGGUUUCUGCCUUGCUCCCCGAGCCACACUGCUCUAAUCCAGACAGCGGUCCCUGUGCUCUGCUUGUAUCCCAGCUGCAUCACGGUCCCUUCACAGAGAUUUCUUUGGGUUAUGUAUAUAUUUUCAUAUCUAUUUAUUUUUGAGAGAGGGAGUUAAGAUGUGAGAAGGGGAGGAGCAGAGAGAGAGGGAGACACAGAAUCAGAAGCAGUCUUCAGGCUUCCAGCUUCCAGCCCAGAGGUGGACUCAGGGCUCGAACCCACAAACCUCGAGAUCAUGACCUGAGUCGAAAGUUGGACGCUUAAUCUGGUUAGUCACUCAGGUGGCCCUUUUGUGUUUGUGUGGGUGGGUGGGUGCGUGGGUGUGUGUGCAUGUGUGAUUUUGCUUGUGUAUGUGUUUAACUCACAGUAAUAGAUUUUUUCGCUUGUAGCAAAGUCCUCAUUUACAAGGAACAAAGACUGGAGGCCAUGAGGAGAUGUAUGCUGGCAGGUUGCAGCAAUGAUUUCUGUUGGCACGAAGAGAAAACUUUAUGCAGCUAUAAAUCUUUGGAAACUUAUUUUCUGUAUUUUCUCAAUUUGUCUGAAAAACCGUUGAGCUAUUUGGUUAGUCAAAUGCACUUCCUCCUUGCCUCCUUCGGAUUUCUUCACAAAGCCGUGUGAAGUGUGGGAGGAUGUCCUGGAGUCCUGAAAAGGUCUGCACGCCUGACGACUUGCCCUGGCGGCAGACGUCCUCCUACGUUUUUAUUCUUCAUCGCGUUACACACGGAUCCCUCCAGACGCUUGGGAUUUCCUCAAUGGAUGGCUAGGUUUCAGAGAGAGACCUGUGAACAUCCUCUUACCUCCCGCCAGGAAGAAACGACUGUGUUUAUCAAAUUAAAGGAAAUCUUGCCAUUUGCCGUUACAUGCAUGGAACUGGAGGAUAUUAUGUUUCCAGUGUUGCCUGUGGUUUUCAAAGAGAACUCAGGAGCUGGGGAGCAGGAGCAUAUGGACCGUGGGCAUGGCUGCCAGGCAGGAUGUGAGGAAUCAGGCACAGGUGCUCACCCUGCCCUCUGAUGAAGCUGGCUUCCAGAAGGACCAGGAAUGGUGUGGCCUUGCCGAGUUUUCCUGAUGAGUCUAGAACAACAGGCAAAGCCCUCUUUCACCUUCACCUUCCGGGAGAUUUAGCCUCACCGGCCCUCCCCAGAGACCCUGUCCUUUCGUGUGACAGUUUCCCCUGAUCCGAACUGCAGGCAGCUGAAGUCGUGCAUGCAGUUGGGUGGCCUCUUUCCAGCUCGGGGCCAUGGGGCACACUUGGCUGGAGAGGCAGAGACUGUGUACAAAUCACACAACUUUCGUUCUGCCGUUGUUUCGUUUGUGAAUGGGCGCCCCGGCGAGACACUGCCUGGUUUCCCCUCCCGGGACUGAGAUUUGAGUCUGAUGUUUAAAACUGCGUCCACAGUAGAUUGCAUCUGGGAAAUUCAUGCCAGGCUUAGGAUACCUAGGAGAGGGGAGCGAGAUUUGAGGUGGCCUUGAAGGGACAGUGUGGAUCCUGCCUUACCUGCUAGCAAACUGUUGCCCUUUCAGGGCACAGUGACAGGGGUCGCAUCUGGGCACUUGAGAGCUGUGCCCUGAUUUGCCCCUCGCCGCCAUCCCGGAUUUGGACUUGAGGCCCAGUAGAGCUGGAGGGGGUGGGUCCACACAGGCUUUUGCUCUGGCUGAAUUCAAGCCACAGGAGCACCCCAGUGUGGCAACCCAAAAAGCACCCACUGGGUGUCCCCAGUCCAGACACAUGGGUGGAGCUUCCCCUUGAUCGACUUAAAACGGUGUUUCAUUUGCUUCCUGGCCCAGGUGAAAUUUUACUAGUACUCGUGUGGAAAACGAGUCGGGUCUCAUACAUAGUUUUCUCUUGAAACCUGUAAAAGUUCGAGUUUACAUCUGCGGGUGGGAAAAGUCUUGUCCUGUUCAGGUGUGAGUCUGCUGCCCUUGGUCUCGGUGGACCCUUCUAGCACUGAUGUGCUGGAGGUGGAGGGGACAGCACAUCCUCUGAGAUUCCCAGUAGGAGAAAAGUCCACAUUGUACCAGCCAGAUAUUUCCCCCGCGAGGUGUGAAGCAGCCCUCCAAGAAAUCACUUGAAAAAAUGGACACAAUUGUCAGAGCCUGAGUUAGGGAUGUCACUAUUACCCUUCCAGGAAGUACUUGAAAUCGAAAUGAUUCCUGUUGUUUCUUUGAAGUGAGAAAGUCCACGGAACCUAGGAAUCGCUCACGUUGUUGGGCUCCUUCAUGUUUGGACAACACUGUUGUCAUGACUUAGUGAAGGCAUGUUUUCUUUCUUACUUGCUUGCUUUCUUGCUUUCUUUUCUUUAUUGAUGCUUAUUAAUGAGAGAGAGAGAGAGAGAGAGAGAGAGAGAGAGAGAGCGCCGCAACGGG